UAAUUUUUUUUUCAGAGUAUGAUACCUCCGACUCUGAUUCUGAAAAUGUCAUCACAACAAGGAACAGAGCUGAAUUCAAUCGAGCUGACACUUUGGUUUUUGAACCAAAUACAAACUGGAAGAUGAAAGAGAUGCUCUACUAAUGAAACACCUAAAAGACCGGCCCAUUUUUGAUGGACCAGAAGGACAUCGGUUCUUGGUCAAUGCAAAUGGUAUGCAUAUUGGUUAGAUGUGUACUAUACGCUACUAAUGGUUGGUUAAUGCUCAUUGAUAUAUAUCACAUGACAUAUG